rnacentral:lncRNA from 10 species
CUUUUACAGAUAUUUGGAUUUUAUUUUGGCAGACAGUUUAGCUACUUUUAGACCAACUUGAUUCUUUUGAGGUUUGUUUUUAGCACAGGUCUGCAGUAGCCUCAGUCUAGCCCUAAUACUUCUGGGGUCUUUUCUGAAUGCCCUGCUUGUUCUGAGAUUUCUACACCACAAUUGGACUGGGGAAGUGUUAGAGGAAGAUUACGACACUGCUACUCCAUGCCAAAACGUUACACUACGGCUCUGCAGACUGAAGAUUGCCUCACAAGCAGAAAUAUACUCUUUCCAACAAACACUGGUGGAAUGAAAAGGACAUUGGAUUCCUGCUUCCAGUUACUGCUUGCCCUUCCCUGACUUUGUGACCUGAGGUGAUUGCAUCCUUUGAAAGCCUGUUUGCAUAGCAGACAAUGAAGCUGAGCAGAGAAAAACAAGAUGAGAGACAGAUGGAGUAGGAGACCUGAGAAGAUGGCUUGAGUCCAUGAAUUCUGGUGUUCCCUAGGCCACAUUUGCCCCCAUCCUUCCCAGAUUUUACUUUCUACUCUUGUCAGUCAUAUCUGCAAGGCUGACAGUUACCAGGGGCUGUGGCCAGGCAUGAGGGAGAAUGUGUCAUUGCUGGCUGCGUUGGUCAUAGCAACGUGUCUGCCUCAGAACAGAUCCAGCAUGGAUGAGCAAACAGAAAAAUGUGUAAGAAGGCUUGUGACUGAAACAGACCAAGGACUUCUCCUAUGGAGAAUGCAGCAAGAAAAUACCAUCUUGAAGCAGAGAGCAGCGCUCAUCAGGCAUCAGUCCUUCUGGAGCCUUGAUCUUGGACCUCCCAGCUCCAAAAUAAUAAGUAAUAAAUUGUUAUUGCUUAUAAAUU